GGUUUUGGCCAUACCACCUUGAACACGUCUGAUCUUGUCAGAUCUCAGAAGUUAAGCACAGUUGGUCCUGAGUAAUAUCUGGGUGGGAGACCAACACAUUGCUCUCUAAAUUG
rfam:Fukomys damarensis contig70363, whole genome shotgun sequence.